UACGUAGGGUGCAAGCGUUAAUCGGAAUUACUGGGCGUAAAGCGUGCGCAGGCGGUUUUGUAAGUUUGUCGUGAAAUCCCCGGGCUCAACCUGGGAAUGGCGAUGAAGACUGCAAGGCUAGAAUCUGGCAGAGGGGGGUAGAAUUCCACGUGUAGCAGUGAAAUGCGUAGAGAUGUGGAGGAACACCGAUGGCGAAGGCGGCUCACUGGCUCGACACUGACGCUGAGGU
rnacentral:rRNA from 1 species